rnacentral:rRNA from 1 species
AGUGAGCGCUGGCGGUAGGCCUAACACAUGCAAGUCGAACGGCAGCACAGUAAGAGCUUGCUCUUACGGGUGGCGAGUGGCGGACGGGUGAGGAAUACAUCGGAAUCUACUUUUUCGUGGGGGAUAACGUAGGGAAACUUACGCUAAUACCGCAUACGACCUACGGGUGAAAGCAGGGGGUCUUCGGACCUUGCGCGAUUGAAUGAGCCGAUGUCGGAUUAGCUAGUUGGCGGGGUAAAGGCCCACCAAGGCGACGAUCCGUAGCUGGUCUGAGAGGAUGAUCAGCCACACUGGAACUGAGACACGGUCCAGACUCCUACGGGAGGCAGCAGUGGGGAAUAUUGGACAAUGGGCGCAAGCCUGAUCCAGCCAUACCGCGUGGGUGAAGAAGGCCUUCGGGUUGUAAAGCCCUUUUGUUGGGAAAGAAAAGCAGCAGGUUAAUACCCCGCUGUUCUGACGGUACCCAAAGAAUAAGCACCGGCUAACUUCGUG